rnacentral:rRNA from 1 species
CUACGGGUGGCAGCAGUGAGGAAUAUUGCACAAUGGGGGGAACCCUGAUGCAGCAACGCCGCGUGGAGGAUGACGCAUUUCGGUGUGUAAACUCCUUUUAUAUGUCAAGAAAAUGACGGUAGCAUAUGAAUAAGCACCGGCUAACUCCGUGCCAGCAGCCGCGGUAAUACGGAGGGUGCAAGCGUUACUCGGAAUCACUGGGCGUAAAGGACGCGUAGGCGGGUUGGAAAGUCAGGUGUGAAAUCCUACAGCUUAACUGUAGAACUGCACUUGAAACUUCUAAUCUAGAGUAUGGGAGGGGGAGAUGGAGUUAGUGGUGGAGGGGUAAAAUCCGUAGAUAUCACUAGGAAUACCUAAAGCGAAGGCGAUCUCCUGGAACAUUACUGACGCUAAGGCGUGAAAGCGUGGGGAGCAAACAGGAUUAGAUACCCCAGUAGUC